rnacentral:RNase_P_RNA from 1 species
CAGGCUGGCCGGGUGAUCGCGCCCUGAGCGGAGUCCUGAGCUUCGGCGAAGGACGAAGUUGAAGGGCGAGGAAAGUCCGCACUCCACAGAGCACGAUGUCGGAUAACAUCCGGAGGGAAGUAAUUUCCUGUACCGGGCCACAGAAACAAACCGCAAAGCUCACACUUGUGUGAGCCGCAAGGGUGAAAAGGUGGUGUAAGAGACCACCGGCGUCGGCAGUAAUGCCGGCGGCCAGGCAACCCCCAUCGGGAGCAAGGCCAAGCAGGGACGAUGUGGCUGC